CUUCUUCGUCAGGUACAUCUCACAUCUUCUUCUCUAAUCUCUCAUCUUUUAAGUUCUUUCUUUUUCAUCUUCUCAUUUUUAUGUUAUUAUUCCCUCUCUUCUAAUUUCGUUUCUAUCACACACCUUCUUCUUUAAUCUCUUCAAUCUUCUUUUCUUUCUUUUUCAUCUUUUUUAAUAUCUUCUCUCCUCUAUUUUUUCAGUUUCAUUAUACUGUAUUUUAUAUUGUUUUAUGCUAUUUUUUUAUUUCAUUUUUGUUGAAUAUGAUUUUUUAAAUUUUAAAUGGAAAGUUUUUGUUCAAAUAUAAUGAGUUUUUUGUUAUUUAAUGAUAUAUGAAUGAUUAAACACAAAGUUAUGUUGUCCUCUAUGGAUGUACGUAUGUCUCCAUAAAAAAUCACACGAUUUUUCUCUUACAAUAAUAUUAUUCUUUUUAAAAAUAUAAGAUAUAGAUUGAGUUAAGAGAAUAUUCAUUUUUAUAUUUUUAUUUGCCUUAAGUUGGGUGAAUC
rnacentral:lncRNA from 1 species